rnacentral:rRNA from 1 species
ACGACGCUGGCGGCGUGCUAACACAUGCAAGUCGAACGGAGAUAUUAAUGAAGCUUGCGAUUUAGAUACUUAGUGGCGAACGGGUGAGUAACGCGUGGGUAACCUGCCCUUAAGACCGGAACAACAGCUGGAAACGGCUGCUAAUGCCGGAUGUAUUCCUGGGAGCAUCUCUUGGGGAAGAAAGCUGGCCUCUGAACAUGCUAGUGCUUAAGGAUGGACCCGCGUCUGAUUAGCUAGUUGGUGGGGUAGUGGCCUACCAAGGCGACGAUCAGUAGCCGGCCUGAGAGGGUAAACGGCCACACUGGGACUGAGACACGGCCCAGACUCCUACGGGAGGCAGCAGUGGGGGAAUCUUCCGCAAUGGACGCAAGUCUGACGGAGCAACGCCGCGUGUAUGAAGAAGGCCUUCGGGUUGUAAAGUACUGUUGUUGGGGAAGAACGGCUCAAGUGUAAAUAAUGCUUGAGAUUGACGGUACCCAACGAGGAAGCCCCGGCUAACUACGUG